UAUUCAUCAAUAAUAGUGGUGAGUCCUCAUUCUUCUAGAACGAUUGAUAUGUUUUAUAUUCAGUCUUAUAUUUUAGUUUCAGUUUUGCAAGAGUUAGCUGGGUACAUGUCCCACCAUCUCUAGUAAGUUAGAAGCUUUUAUUUAGACUUGAUUUUUGUCAUUCCCCGAGGCUACCCCCUUGACGUAACUCGAGACCUAGGAUCACGAGUGACCCUAAGCUAAUCCUAAGCUAGAACAUCAUAAGCAUAUUAGAUAAGAAUAUAAGAUCAACACUUUAUAAAACCUUUAAAAGCCUAAACCUAAGAAACCCUUUACCCUAAGAAACCCUAAAUCC
rnacentral:lncRNA from 1 species